CUGAGAGGGUGACCGGCCACACUGGGACUGAGACACGGCCCAGACUCCUACGGGAGGCAGCAGUGGGGAAUAUUGCACAAUGGGCGCAAGCCUGAUGCAGCGACGCCGCGUGAGGGAUGACGGCCUUCGGGUUGUAAACCUCUUUCAGUAGGGAAGAAGCGUAAGUGACGGUACCUGCAGAAGAAGCGCCGGCUAACUACGUGCCAGCAGCCGCGGUAAUACGUAGGGCGCAAGCGUUAUCCGGAAUUAUUGGGCGUAAAGAGCUCGUAGGCGGUUUGUCGCGUCUGCUGUGAAAGACCGGGGCUCAACUCCGGUUCUGCAGUGGGUACGGGCAGACUAGAGUGCAGUAGGGGAGACUGGAAUUCCUGGUGUAGCGGUGAAAUGCGCAGAUAUCAGGAGGAACACCGAUGGCGAAGGCAGGUCUCUGGGCUGUAACUGACGCUGAGGAGCGAAAGCAUGGGGAGCGAACAGGAUUAGAUACCCUGGUAGUCCAUGCCGUAAACGUUGGGCACUAGGUGUGGGGGACAUUCCACGUUUUCCGCGCCGUAGCUAACGCAUUAAGUGCCCCGCUGGGGG
rnacentral:rRNA from 1 species